CGUGCCUUCUGCCAUGACUGUGAGGUCUCCCCAGCCAAGUGGAACUCUACUUCUUCAUAUAAAUGAUCUACUAUUUGGAUUAUGAUGCAAAUAUUGGAUGGGAGUGCUUCCAACAUCUUCACGCUUAGCUUCGUCACCAUGAGGAUAUAGUCCAGAUGCCAUAACAUUAUUAGCAGAAGCUGGAAAUGUGCUUUGAAGGAUAUAUUCCUGACAUUUCUGUGGAAACAACAAGACUGUGAAUGGAAAGCCUUCAGGCAUGAAUGGGCUUAAUAAGUCACGGAUUCUGGGUUCUUUGCAAGACCAAGCUUUCCCUUUGGAUGCAAGUUGCAUGGCAUAAUCCCAGAUGGACCAGCAUGGAUAUUUCCCUGGCAUAACUUGUUCUUUUACAUCUGUGGAGCAGCAGUGAGUUGAUUGUGUCUUCUUGAAGAUCAAGACUGGUGAGGAUGUUUGGAUAAUAAUCAAAAGACUAUGUUGGACACCAUAGUCUUGAAAAUAUUUAACAGCAUCCUCUCUGUGCUAAUAUGAACUUUGAAGAAAAUGAUGCAGUAGGAUACAGAAAAGCUUCAAAAUACAUUCAUGGGAAACAAUAAUGAUGUUUAUUGGAAUUAAUCACUGCUAAAUACCCUCUUAUAACAGGACAUUUGGAUGGUUCUAGCUAAUGCCAGAGAGGGGUAGAUUUUAUAAAAAGAUAAGAAAAGAUUAAGGAAAAUCAUGAAUAAGGAGAAGAAGAAGACUGGGACAUUUAUAAAUAAGGUACAGAAUCAGAGUAUGUAAGGCAUGAAUGGAGUCUUGGAGUGUAAUGGGAGGUAAUUUGCUACAUCUAGUUGCAUCCAAAUAUGGUGCUGAGACUUUCUUUUCCACCUUAGUAUUGAUAUGUCUGUUUAUCAAGGGCCCCAUUUUUUGCUUUCAGGUAUUUUCAACUAAUUUAGAUCCUUAAAAACAGUGGGUUCCCAAGAGAUUACAUGGGAUUUAGCCAAAUUUCAGAAUAUGGCCAAGUACUUUUACUAAAAUAACCAAAUGCUAGCAGUUGGCAACUUUGAUGAGCCCUAAUUCCCAGGGACCUAGAGAAUAUCUUCUAUGCCAGAUAAUAUAAAUUCUUAUUUGAUCAGCUGUGAUAUAUUCUGUAUGCAUUGGCUGCAUUUUUACAUGGCUUUCCAGAGCAAGCCAUAAUAAAGUCUUCAUCUGGAAGCUGAUUUUUUAAAUCCUUUUCUUGACUUUAGGCCAUUCCUCCUUCUCCUAAAUCACUAGUUCUCAAAGUGUCGUCUGUAGAUUAACAGUAUCAACAUUGGCUGGAAGCUAAUUAGAAAUGCAAAGUUUUGAGCCACACCUCAGAUCUACUUCAGAAACUCAGAGGCUGACUAAACUUUGCAUCUUGUUAAGUCUUCCAGGCAAUUUUAACACAUGCUAGUGUUUGAACACCACCUUCCUAAGGUUGUGCAUGAGCUCUGUCAGCCUGGGUAAGCCUCAUGCAUUGAGUUUUAUGGGAGAGCUAGAGCAGGUUUGUCAACCUCUCUCCUUUUUUCUCGAUUUGCUCCAUACUCAGUUCCACCAGGGCCUGCUCUUUGGAUGCUCAGGAGCACAUAUUGGAGGUCAAAACAACUGCCUUUCUCUUUAUCCUUUUGUUUUAACAACCUAAUUUUCCUUGAGGUGGUGUGGAGUCAUCUGACUGAGAAGGGGAGAGGGUUGGUAAAAAAGGAAGUAUAGAAAAGGGAAAAAAAAAUCUUUUUAGAUACACUCUUGCUACCUGGGAAGACAAUGUCAGACAAUUAUAUGAUCCACCUAAUUUAACGUCUUUUUUUAUUUUUAGCAGAUAUAUCACAUGGAGAAAAUAUACUUUUAUGUAAAUAAAAAUCAGUGAAAUAAAUUUUGCUUUGCUUUGUGCUUAGUGUAUGUGAUAUUAAUAACCAAUAAGUUAUUAGAGGUUCUUCUUUCUUUUAUUUUAAAUUACAUUCUUAAUCAAUGUAUUUUAAAUCAUCUCUCUUACUGCUUCCAUACCUCUAGAUUAUAUAAGAAUAGAAAAUAUGACUCUCAGAAUGAUCAGCCUGAGUAAUGCAACAUUUCAGAUAAUCAAAACAAUUUCACUAAGUUUGUCAGCAUCCAGUAUGGUAAGCUCCAAUCACAAAGAUAAAAUAAUCAGAAUUUCCACUCAUAGUUUAACUUAAGUUGCCAUCUCCUAUUAGAUUUAGGUCAAUGCCUCCUCAAAAGUUAUAUACAGAUACAGUGACUGACUCUUCAUUCAAAAAUAUUUACUUUAUAUUUUUAUCACAUAGGGAAAAAAACAGUCUGUGUGUGUGUUUAUGUAUGUGUGUCUUCAAUCUCUGUUUCUCUGUCAUCUUUUUCUUGUCUGCAUUAGUCCAUUCUCACGCUGAUCUGAGGAAAUACCCAAGACUGGGUAAUUUAUAGAGAAAGAGGUUUGACUCACAGUUCCACAUGGCUGGGGAGGCCUCAGGAAACUUACAAUCAUGGUGGAAGGCACCUCUUCACAGGGCAACAGGAGAGAGAAUGAGUGCUGAGCAAAGGGGAAGCCCCUUAUAAAAUCAUCAGAUCUCAUGGGAACUCCCUAUCACAAGAACAACAUGGGGAAACCACCCCCAUGAUUCAAUUACCUCCACCUGGUCCUGCCCUUGACACGUGGGGAUUAUUAUAAUUCAAGGUGAGAUUUGGGUGAGGACACAGAGCCAAAUCAUAUCAUUUUCCUUCUUUAAACACAUAUUUGUUGCCUCUACCCUAUUAAAAUAAAAUAGCAUAAAAUACUUCUCUCAUUAAUCCUGUUCCAAAAAAUCUAUUCUACCUCUGUAUUUUCGUUGAAAAGUAUGAAUGUGAGUUAUUUUAAGUCUACAGGAAGCCUACUGUAUGGAAACAACUUCUUAAUAAUUUCAGUUAUAAAUGAUAUUCUAUUCACUAAGGCUGCAAAUUUAAAGCCACAUUAUU
rnacentral:lncRNA from 10 species